rnacentral:rRNA from 1 species
AGGUAAGCUACUAAGAGCGAAUGGUGGAUGCCUUGACUGGUAAAGGCGAUGAAGGACGUACUAGACUGCGAUAAGCUACGGGGAGCUGUCAAGAAGCUUUGAUCCGUAGAUUUCCGAAUGGGGCAACCCAAUGUAUAGAGAUAUGCAUUACCUAUAUAGGAGCGAACGAGGGGAAUUGAAACAUCUUAGUACCCUCAGGAAAAGAAAUCAAUAGAGAUUGCGUCAGUAGCGGCGAGCGAAAGCGCAAGAGGGCAAACCCAGUGCUUGCACUGGGGGUUGUAGGACUGCAAUGUGCAAGAGGUAAGUUUAGCAGAACAUUCUGGAAAGUAUAACCAUAGAGGGUGAUAGUCCCGUAUGCGAAAAACAAACCUUAGCUAGCAGUAUCCUGAGUAGGGCGGGACACGAGGAAUCCUGUCUGAAUCCGGGUCGACCACGAUCCAACCCUAAAUACUAAUACCAGAUCGAUAGUGCACAAGUACCGUGAGGGAAAGGUGAAAAGAACUGAGGUGAUCAGAGUGAAAUAGAACCUGAAACCAUUUGCUUACAAUCAUUCAGAGCCCUAUGUAGGAAUACAGGGUGAUGGACUGCCUUUUGCAUAAUGAGCCUGCGAGUUGUGGUGUCUGGCAAGGUUAAGCAAACGCGAAGCCGUAGCGAAAGCGAGUCUGAAUAGGGCGCUUAGUCAGAUGCUGCAGACCCGAAACGAAGUGAUCUAUCCAUGAGCAAGUUGAAGCUAGUGUAAGAACUAGUGGAGGACUGAACCCAUAGGCGUUGAAAAGCCCCGGGAUGACUUGUGGAUAGGGGUGAAAGGCCAAUCAAACUUCGUGAUAGCUGGUUCUCUCCGAAAUAUAUUUAGGUAUAGCGUUGUGUCGUAAUAUAAGGGGGUAGAGCACUGAAUGGGCUAGGGCAUACACCAAUGUACCAAACCCUAUCAAACUCCGAAUACCUUAUAUGUAAUCACAGCAGUCAGGCGGCGAGUGAUAAAAUCCGUCGUCAAGAGGGAAACAACCCAGACUACCAGCUAAGGUCCCUAAAUCUUACUUAAGUGGAAAACGAUGUGAAGUUACUUAAACAACCAGGAGGUUGGCUUAGAAGCAGCCAUCCUUUAAAGAAAGCGUAAUAGCUCACUGGUCUAGUGAUUUUGCGCGGAAAAUAUAACGGGGCUAAAGUAAGUACCGAAGCUGUAGACUUAGUUUACUAAGUGGUAGGAGAGCGUUCUAUUUGCGUCGAAGGUAUACCGGUAAGGAGUGCUGGAGCGAAUAGAAGUGAGCAUGCAGGCAUGAGUAGCGAUAAUUAAUGUGAGAAUCAUUAACGCCGUAAACCCAAGGUUUCCUACGCGAUGCUCGUCAUCGUAGGGUUAGUCGGGUCCUAAGUCGAGUCCGAAAGGGGUAGACGAUGGCAAAUUGGUUAAUAUUCCAAUACCAACAUUAGUGUGCGAUGGAAGGACGCUUAGGGCUAAGGGGGCUAGCGGAUGGAAGUGCUAGUCUAAGGUCGUAGGAGGUUGUACAGGCAAAUCCGUAUAACAAUACUCCGAGAACUGAAAGGCUUUUUGAAGUCUUCGGAU